UUCCAUGAUCUUGGUCUUGGGCCUCCCUUCUAGAGUUAGACAAGGCUGGUGUCACACCUUAGACGGAGCUCGUGUGACAGUUCCUAGAAGCAGAGCUUCUGAUUUGUCCCCUGUUCCCUUUCAUGCUCCAGGUGACUACAACACACACAAUGGACCCUCCACGCCAGCCAAAGAGGGGGACACAGACAGGCCACAUCGGGCCCCCGACGGGAAGCUCCGGGGCAGGUCAAAGAGGAGCAGCGACCCGUCCCCAGCAGGCGACAAUGAGAUCGAGCGUGUGUUCGUGUGGGACUUGGAUGAGACAAUAAUUAUUUUUCACUCCUUACUCACGGGGACUUUUGCAUCCAGAUACGGGAAGGACACCACGACGUCCGUGCGCAUCGGCCUGAUGAUGGAAGAGAUGAUCUUCAACCUGGCGGACACACACCUGUUCUUCAAUGACCUGGAGGACUGUGACCAGAUCCAUGUGGAUGAUGUCUCAGCAGACGACAAUGGCCAAGACUUAAGCACAUACAACUUCUCCACCGACGGCUUCCACGGCUCGGCCCCGGGUGCUGGCCUGUGCCUGGGCACAGGCGUGCACGGCGGUGUGGACUGGAUGAGGAAGUUGGCCUUCCGCUACCGGCGCGUGAAGGAGAUGUACAACACCUACCGGAACAACGUGGGCGGCUUGAUAGGAGCUCCCAAAAGAGAGACGUGGCUGCAGCUCCGUGCCGAGCUGGAGGCGCUAACAGACCUCUGGCUGACCCACUCCCUGAAGGCCCUAAACCUCAUCAAUUCCCGGCCCAACUGUGUCAACGUGCUGGUCACCACCACUCAGCUCAUCCCUGCCUUAGCCAAAGUCCUGCUGUACGGCCUGGGCUCCGUGUUUCCUAUUGAGAACAUCUACAGCGCCACCAAGACAGGCAAGGAGAGCUGCUUUGAGAGGAUCAUGCAGAGGUUCGGCCGCAAAGCCGUCUACAUCGUGAUCGGCGACGGGGUGGAAGAGGAACAAGGAGCCAAGAAGCACAACAUGCCUUUCUGGCGGAUAUCCUGCCACGCCGACCUGGAGGCGCUGCGGCACGCCCUGGAGCUGGAGUAUUUAUAGCACCCGCCAUCACAUCCACCACCCCUCAUUCCCCGCCUCCCUGCCAAGAGCCCCAGCUGCGGGACACCACCAGGCAGGGUCCCUGCACCCAGAGGACGUGUCCAGUGGCCGUGUCAGAAGCUGUCCUGCACGAGGGUACUGAGCCUCAAAGUCCCCAACACUGGCUUCGGAAUAUUUGACGCUGGGGAAAAAGGGCUGACGUGGAGUCCAGACACUUCUGCAAGACUCGCAGAACAAAGCAAGGACUUGCUAACUGCGGGGAGGGUGGCGAGGAGGAGGAAACAGGUUCUUUCUUUUUUCUUUUUAAUUUAUGGACAAAUCUCAUUACUCCCGUAUUACGCUCUUGUGCCUGUGUCGUUGAUUUUCUUAGUUGUCGGAUUGGUUUGGUUUUUUUGUAACUGGCAUGCGGGGUGGUUCACACUCUUUUCUCCAGGCUGUGCUUUGGGGGACAAUCACUCUUCGGACAUUGGCGAGGGAGGCGAUUGGGAACUGUGGGAAGACUUGCUUUGGUAGUCUCUAGAGCCCCUCCCCAAUGUCAUGGGGACCCCGCACAGUGCCUUAUGCUGCCAUCUUGUUUCUAGGAAGAGGGGAUGCUGGGAAGGAAGCAGUACUUUGUGAUGGAUAAAAGGCAUUAAAUAAAAUCACGUUUACAUUUUGAAGUGGAGGAGACUGUGGCCACUUUAUUUCUUCUCCCAGGCUUGCAGAUAUGGUCUUUUUCAGGACUUUUUCAGUUGCAAAAGAAUAAAAUCCAAUUUAAACUGGCUUCAGAUGAGGGAGGUGAAGGGCAGUGCUGCUGUCUUCAGCUGUGGCUGCAGCCAGGUGAGCAAACGCUUCCUCC
rnacentral:lncRNA from 1 species